GCUGAGCCACAAGAGGUCAAUAUUUAAUAUUCUUUUCAUUUUAACAGAUGGCAGAGUAAACCAUGGAGCAGCUGUGACUCUCAUGACCAGGAGCUGCUAAAAGAGAUUUUUGAAAAGCCCUAGGCUGUCAGUCCUGAGGUUGCUGCCUGUGAAUAAGGAUGCUGCCCGGAUGAUUGCUCCUCAACCAGAGAUGUCAGCCAGCUGAAACAGACCAGGAGACAACAAAGGACAUUCCUGACUUGGGGAAAAAUGGAACAGGAGAAAUUUACAUGUUUUUGACAUUUAUAUUCUUUUGAGUAGCUUUUGUCUCUUUGAAAAUUCCCUGAACUUACUACCUCAAGCAGAAGAAUGGAAUCUAAAUACAAGGGAGAAAAGAAAAUCUGCUUUGAAGAUGGGGAGUAAGACGAAGAAUUAGAGGUUCGUCUCUUUCUUUUAAGGCCUUUUUUGGUUAUGGAAAAGGACAGAAUUGUAAAAUUAACAAGGUCACAAUAACUUUAGUUCCUGAUGUAUUGGGGAAUAGUUGUAUUAAAAGCAUAGUGUGUUUAAA